UUUGAAGAAUUCAGGUAUGUUCUGGGUUCUCUACAUCCGUCUGCCAGUGGGUUUUUGUUCUCGCUGGGUUUUUGCUGUGUAAUGACAGCUUAGGCUCUCGCUGGUUGUCACACAAAAAGGCUGCUUUUCUGUGGUGGGCUUUGGCAGGGUCCUGGGGGCCGGAGGUGCAGAGGCGGUGCGGGUCGGUGUUGACUGCAUGCUUGGAUGCAGCGUGGAUAAUUGGUUUGAUCGCGUGUAAAGGUGCCGAGGACCCCACCUUGUGCCUCCCUGGCACUGUGCUGUUGCUGGUGUGGAGUUCGGGGAAUACGGAAUGGGAACUGUGCAUCCAGAAGAGUCUCUUGCUAUCUUUUGUGUUUCCUCCUUUGUCGAACUCAUGGAGCCUACUGCUCUUUUUAAAGAGGCUGCUUGUGGCGGUGCAGGUGAAAAAUCCUGCAAGCCUGUCUGCUGAGCGGAGAUGCGGUCUUGGCUGUGAUUUCCUCAUUGUUGCUGGUGAUCUCGUGGCUGGGCAGUUUUCUGGGAAGUGCCCUCGUUGUGUUUUGUUCACAGGCUCCUUCUUUGCUCUGGCAAGCUUUUCAGCUGCUGUAAUUAUCAGUGCUCAAACCAGUCUUUUGUGACUCUUAUUCCUUCUCUUUCCUCCAUCUCUUCUCCGGGAAUCUGCCUCUGGGCGUGAAUGUGAGAAGGGAUGCUCCUACAGAGACGGUUUCUAAGAAAUGGAAAUCGAGGAGGUGGGACGGUUCCCGCUGCUGGUUCUCUCUCUGCGCGAGGAGGAGAGUGUGUGUGUUCUAACCGCUGACAGCUUCUCCUUUCUCGGAUGGAACCCCAUGCGUUUUAGGACAGGGCAUGACCCCCAUGCUGAUAGGCAAGGAAGCGGUUGUGGGCGACCCGGCACAGGCCCUUUUCGUUGCCUCUAAAUGUUGCCGCAAAUACACAUUAAACCGAUCAUAGAAUUACCACCGCUCGUUAUUUCCGAGAGGAAACUAGAGACCUUUUAGUCAGAAUCAAGGGAGUUGAUGAGAACCUCACCAGUUUCCACAAGGAAAAGCAGGGCUACACAGAGGUGGUCGCACCCUUUCUAUAAACUUGGGGUUUGGGAUCCAGGAAGUUAUCCUUUGUUUAAGAGCCUGCCUCUGCGUUAUUUCUAACGGACGGGGUUUGUGAAAAGGACAUUCUUCCCAUGUGGCAACAUGCUCUGGUGACCUGGGGUGACACAGUGACCAGAACUUUACUCUUCUAUGAUGGCUCCAUUUGAUAACUAACAAGAAUGUAUUUAACACCUGGCGUGUAACAGUAGGUAGAUGGGUCCUUAGGGAGUGAGUCGGGAGUCCUGGGUUCUAAUCUCAGUUUCAAAAUGAGCUUUUCUGAUCCUUGGGAGAGUUAGGAAGCGCUUUGUAAAGCCAAGGCCAGGGUAUAAGUAGGCGAGGAAUCAGGAGCCAGAAGCAGCUUUGCAGGUACGGGCAGGUGGACCAGAGCGGGGCCCGUUCUGGGGCCAGAGGUCAACCGUGGCAGUCAGUGCAGCGGCCCUCCUCCUGGGAGGGCUGGGAGCAGGGGACCGGCCCCGGUCUCGGGCGAGAGUCCGGGAGCUCAGCUUGUAAUCCUGGUUCUGCCCUGAACCACCUUUGUGGACGGGGCCAGUCUCUUGAUCUUUCUGGGGUUUUUUGUGGGGUUUUUUUUUUUUUUUUUUGGCUUUUUAGGGCCUCACCUGCUGCAUACGGUGGUUCCCAGGCUAGGGGUCUAAUGGGAGCUACAGCUGCCGGCCUAUACCACAGCCAUGGCAAUGCCAGAUCCGAGCUGCGUCUGCGACCUACACCACAGCUCACGGCAACGCCAGAUCCUCAACCCACUGAGCAAGGUCAGGGAUCAAAGCCACAACCUCUUGGCUCCCACUCAGAUUCGUUUCCACUGUGCCACAACGGGACCUCCUCUUGAUCUUUCUUAGCCUCGAUUUUUCUCAGCUGGAAAAAGGGGAUAGUUCUUGCCAAGGAAAUCUGCAGUGCUGUCGGAAUUAAAUGAAAUAACAUCAACUUACUUUAUAAAUCAUAGCUCUCUUCCCAUAGGAACAUGAAGGGGUGAGAGGACCCUGGGGGCCCUCGGGUUCUCUGCGGACACACCCCUCCACACCCACGCCCAAGCCCUGAGUGCAGAGGGAGCCAGCAGACACCCCUGCCUGACCCUGCUGGUCCCCGAGUCCCCUGAGAGCUUUGGUCUGUCCCGUCUGGUUUCUUUCCUGAGUGUCUGAAGCUGCCUGCCACACUGUAAGGCCCUCGUUGGCAGUUCACUUUCGUGAGGAUUUAACAAGCAGGAAGAAGCACGCAGGCUCCCUGGCUGGCUGGGUGCAGGCCUGGUGUGGGGCCGCGGAGCCCGCCGAGUGCCGGGUCCGAGGAGCGUGUCAAAAAGCUGCAGCUGACCUCCUGAGAAAUUUGCCAAGUGUCCCCGGGACACCCCAGCUGCUGGGUGCCGGGCAGCCCCGUGGCCUUUCACAAGGAAUCUCUGCAGAUGACCUCACUCGAGGGUGGGCUGGCGGUUGUAACAAGGUGCUGGGGCCUGGGCCCAGCCAGAGUCGCAGGGGUGCCGGAGCUUGAGGCGCUGGGCCAGCCUUUCCCAGCUGGCGGGGGCGCUGGUGCCUGCCUGGACUGCACGACCGGGCUGUCCCGACACCAGCAGGCUGUUGGAGCUCUGGCUCCGGGGCCAGACACACUUACUGGUGUUUCUGCUUUAAAACAAAACCCAAAACCCUUCCUCAGCAAGAGGUAUGCUGCGCUGAGAGUUGAAGUCAGCAUUCACCUGUUUUGCAGAGACCGUCUCCGAGGGAGGCAGCUCGGGGAGCAGCGCCUGGAUUAUCUUCCGCCUCUAGACCCAGAGCGGUAACUGCCUUCCCUCACCAGCCCCGGAAUAAAGACCCUUUAUUAUACACCUUGUUAAAACGGCUAUUUAUUUUUUUAAUUACUCAGUGAAUUUUAUUACAUUUGUAGGUAUACAACGAUCAUCACAACCCAAUUUUAUAGCAUUUCCAUCCCAAACCUCAGCCCAUCCCCCCACCCCCCAACCUGUCUCCUUUGGAAACCAUACGUUUUUCAAAGUCUGUGAGUCAGUAUCUGUUCUGCAAAGAGAGGUUCAUUGUAUCCCUUUAUAGAUUCCACAUGUAAGUGACAGCAUUUGAUGCUGGUGUCUCAUUGCCUGACUUCACUCAGCAGGAUCAAGGUCCAUCCAAUCCAUGUGGCUGCAAAUGCUGUGUGUCUUUCUUUUGAAUGGCUGCGUAAUAUUCCACUGUGUGUGUGGACCACAUCUUCUGGAUCCCCUCCUCUGUCGAUGGGCAUUUAGGUUGUUUCCAUGUCUUGGCUGUUGUAUAUAGUGCUGCAGUGAACAUCAGAGUCCAUGUGUCUUUGUGAGUCGUGGUUUUCUCUGGAUAGAUGCCCAGGGGUGGGAUUGCUGGAUCAAAUGGUAGUUCUGUUUUUAGUUUUCUGAGGCAUCUCCAUACUGUUUUCCACAGUGGUUGCACCAGUUUACAUUCCCACCAACAGGGUACUAGGGUUCCUUUCUCUCCACACCCUCCCUAACACUUACUGUUUGUAGGCUUUUUGAUGACAGCCGUUCUGGCUGGUGUAAUAUGAUACCUCAUAGUGGUUUUGGUUUGCAUUUCUCUAAUAAUGAGUGAUGUUGAACAUCUUUUCAUGUGUUUUUUGACCAUCUGUAUGUCUUUGGAGAACUGUCUGUUUAGAUCUUCUGCUCAUUUUUUGAUGGGGUGGUUUGUUUGGUAUUGAGCUGCAGAAGGUGUUUAUAAAUUUUGGAGAUUAAUCCCUUGGCAGUCAAUUCAUUUGCAAAGAUUUUUCUCCCAUUCUGUGGGUUGUCUUUUCGUUUUGUUUAGGAUUUCCUUUACUUUACAGAAACUUUUUAAGUUUAAUUAGGUCCCAUUUGUUAAUUUUUGUUUUUAUUGUCAUUACUCUAGGAGGUGGAUCUGAGAAGGAUAUUGCCAUGGUUUAUGUCAGAGGGUGUUUGGCCUAUGUUUUCCUCUAAGAAUUUUAUAGUAUCUGGUCUUAUAUCUAGGUCUUUAAUCCAUUUGGAGUUUAUUUUUGUGUAUGGUGUUAGGGAGUGUUCUAAUUUCAUUCUUUUCCAUGUGGCUGUCCAGUUUUCCCAGCACCACUUAUUGAAGGGGCUGUCUUUUCUCCAUUGUAUAUUCUUGCCUCCUUUGUCAGAUUAGUUAACUGUAGCUGCGUGGGUUUAAUUCUGGGCUUUCUAUCCUGCUCCACUGAGCUGUAUUUCUGUCUUUGUGCCAGUACCAUACGGUUUUGAUGACUGUAGCUUUGUAGUAUGGUCUGAACUCAGGGAGCCUGAUUCCUCCAGCUCCAUUUUUCUUUCUCGAGAUGGACUUUGGCUAUUCUGGGUCUUUUGUACCUCCAAACAAACUUUAAAAUAUUUUGUUGUAGUUCUGUGGAAAAUGUUUUUGGUAAUUUGAUAGGGAUUGCAUUGAAUUGGUAGAUUGCCUUGGGUAAUAUAGUCAUUUUGAUAAUAUUGAUUCUUCCAGUCCAAGAGCAUGGUAUGUCUUUCCUUCUGUGUCAUCUUUGAUUUCUUUCAUCAGCAUCUUAUAAUUUUCAGAGAACAGGUCUUUUGUCUCUUUAAGUAGGUAUUUUUCCUAAGUAUCUCAUUCUUUUUGAUGUGAUGGUAAAUGGGAUUGUUUCCCUAAUUUCUCUUUCUGAUCUUUCAUUGCUAGUAUAUAGAAAUGCAGUCAAUUCCUGUGUAUUAAUUUUGUAUCCUGUGACUUUGCCAGAUCCAUUGAUGAGGACUCUUAAGUGUGAUGUUUGGCUUCCUGAUGCCUCAGGUGGGAAUAGAACCCAGUCAGAAGCUGUCAUCCCUCAGAAUUCCUGGUACUUAUUCUGGUUUCUUUCCAGAAGGAAGGUGGUAAACCCACUCCAAGAUUUUAAAUCUGCAGUUGGAAUGUAUCUGUCACAUGAAAAUGGGAAGUUGCUGCUUUGGGUCUGUUUUGUUUUGUCUUUAAAUAAACCCUUAUUGUGGAAGGAUUGGAUUCAGACUCAGGCUGGCUCUUUAUUAAUUUGAAUUUAUGGAAUGUUGAAAUGAGUUAAAACGAAUGGCAUCGGGGAAGACCUGAAGUUUGCAAACCGGGAGAGCCCACCUGCGUGUCCAGAGCCCCUGCCAGCUUAGCCCCCUCUCACUUCCCAGGCUGCUGCAACUCCUUGAAGAAACAAAAUAUUUAGGCACAGUGACUUUCACAACGUGGGGGGAAAUAAAUCUCAGAUGAAUAGGAGAUGGAAACUGGGCUGGGCAGGGAAGAGGGUACAGAAACUAGACCAUCGAAUACCUACUAGGUACAGACACUGCUAGUUGCUUUGCCCCUGGGAACUUUAACCCCCGUGUAGUUUUAUAAAUGAAAACAGGUUUAGAGACAGGGGCAACCCCAAAACCUAUACCUCUGACUCUCACCCUAAUGUUUGUUAAGCGAAUGAAGGAAAUGAGAACAGAGGCUCAGAGAGGUUAGGUGAUUUGCCUGAAGUCACCCAGCAGUUAAGGGGAUCAGGUCAGUUUCACGUCAGUCCUUCGUUCUCAGGUACUCUGUGCCUAGAGUUCCAUCCUGGGAAUUGACCUUGUGUCUUCCACCCAGCAUGGCCUUUUUGAGUCUCUCCUCUGGGCCCAGAGCAGGUUGUAGCUCCAGCACUUGGCUUACCUCCCUGACUGCGAGAGAAACAGGGAAGAAAAAAGAAGCAGAGGCACACCCCCGAGGGCAGAGUAGACUGUGCCCCCACCCCAGCUCUCACAUCCUGUCUCCCUGCAGUACAUACCGGCAUGUAAUUGUGCAACUGCUGGAGUGGGAGCUCUUUGAGGUCAGGAAGCCUGUCUUUGUAACCUCUGUCACCACCAAUUAACAUGGUGUUGGCACUAGGAGGGGUCAGUACACGUCUAGCGGGUAAAAGUCCACAGUACUUAUGUUGAAGGCAUUAGAACGUCUUUAAUUGAAUGUCGCACUCCCUAAUGGUGGGGGCUCAGGUCAUGCUGUCUUGGUUCCCCAGGGCCUAUUAGAAUGCACAGCCAUGUGGGACUUUGAUGGGCAGUGGGAGAACCUGGUUGGAGAAGUGGCCAGAGGGUGGAGAGUUGAGGGCCAGGAAGAUGGAGCAGGAGAGGGAAGGACAGAUGCAUUUCACUGACUUGACAGUUUCGCCUGAUGUUUGUCUGACUAGCCACAAGCAGAAAGUUAUUUUGGGAAACAAAUAAUUUAGCUGUAGGAUAGCCACAGAGAUAUACUUCAAAAUACCAGUCUAGGGAGGUCUCCUGUGGCCGCAGCAGGUUAAGGAUCCCAUGUUGUUGCUGCUGUGGCGCAGGUUUGAUCCCUGGCGUGGGAAUGUCCGUGUGCCUCAGGCACAACUGAAAAAACAAACAAAAAAUACCAGUCUAUCCUGCAUUAUUAAAUAGGUGUUACGAUUGUUAAUUUUCGUUCAAAGAGAAGCGGUGUCGUGGAUCUGGAAUCCAGACUCAACUCCAGUUCAUACCAUGCCAGUUUAAAAAGCUGCUUCCUGGAGUUCCCACUGUGAUGCAGUGGCAUUAGCAGCAUCUCUGGGCGCCAGGAUGCAGGCUCGACUCCAGCAUUGCCGCAGCUGCAGUGUAGAUCGAAAGUGUGGCCUGGAUCUGGUUCCUGACCCAGGAACUCCAUAAGCUGCGG
ensembl:lncRNA